UUUUCCCCUCUUUUCCCCUUCUCUAAAAUUUCCCCAAUUUUCCCGUUUUUCCAAUCUCCCUCCCUUUCACCAUACACCUUGCCUUUACUUCGUCGUGCACGCCCUCGCAACCCCUUGUCGCACGCGCCGCAACUCUUCUUUCCACGCCGCACGCCACUACAACCCUCGUAGCACGCCGCACGCCGCCACCAAGUUUUUUCAAGGUAACCUUCUCUAUCGAAUUGGUGCUAUAAAUGAUCCGGGGUUCGUGAGGUGAGGUUUUCUAGCAUAGGGGAUUACAAGAGCUUUACAAUGAUUGCUGAAACAUCAUAGACCAUACUGAUAAGCUUUGAACAUUCUCUAAUUACACGAAAUCGAUUCAAAGAAAGACAAUUUGAAACGACGAAUACAGAAAUCAAUUCAACCAAAAUCGUCAACAUAGUCGAAGUAGAAGUGUACUUGGGAGUAGAAGACGUGGUACAAUGGGAGAAAUGGAACAAUCAAAGAUAUGGUUGUUAGAAGGUAAAAUAUGACUUCUUAAUUGGCUGUUCUGUUUCAGCCCAUAUUGUGUUUGGGGUAAUGCUUGACUGAAUUUAACCCAAUUAGUUUUGCAGAAAGAGUGUGAAUGUUGGAAAUGGUGGUUGCGCUUGAUAAUUUAAGUUAUUUUUAGCUUGCCCAGUUAAGAAAAUAGCAUCUCCCAAACUUGUAGAUUAAGUUAUCUGAUCAUUGAGACAUGUUCAAGCUUCUACUUUUAAGUUUUUGUAAUUUUACUUCUUCUCUUCUUUCAGGUUUUUUUUUUAAAGUUCACUUUCUAGUUUAAUCCUCUGCCAUUGGAAUGUUCUGCAAAUCAUCUAAUUAAAUCCAUAAAUUGGUAUCCAAUUUUCCAUCUUUUCCAUAAAUUUGCAAUGCCAAGCUGGUUAUAUGUUGAA